rnacentral:lncRNA from 1 species
ACCAAAUUCAACCAAAAUUUAACUACACUUAGCUCAACACUUGGGAAGUUCAUCUAGCUACAAAAACAAGGAGCUUUCCACGGAUUUCUUGGAGCUUCUAAGGACCGAAAAUCCUGCCUAGUUCAUUAACCAAAGUAGGUAAUGAUCCAACACUCUAAUCUUGGUUUAUGGAGGUUGAUUAACACCUUUAAGCUCUUGUAUUCAUAUGGGUGGUUGUUAUUGUUGGAAAAUUUGGAAGGUGGGCUCUAUGAACUCCCACCCUUGUCUUGAUGGCUGAUGUGAUGAUUGAUGAUGGAUUUAAUGUUGGUUUAGUGCUCAAAAUGGUAGAUUAAUGGUGUAUUAUUAGUAGAAACUUCAAGGAGUGCAUGGAGUAAAAAGUUCCGAUUCUGCCCCUGCUUUGAACGUACCUAUUUCUGCAGAAUUUUGGGGAUUUAAUGGCUGUUAUAUGAUGUUUAUAUGUUUUAUAGAUGGUGUACAAAAUUUCAUUGAAAAAUAUUGAGGUUUGGUUGGGCAAAUGAAUUAAUUUCGUGAAGGUAGCAGACCUGGAAACUGUUCCCGUAAUGCUCAAACCAGCUUUCUUGUUUCGUCUAUAACUCUGUGCUCCGAUGUCAAAAUUGAGUGCCGUCAAUGGAAUUUGAAACUAGACAUUCCCACCUUUCCAACGGUAUAAAAUACACAUUCUGAUUCCAUGUAUGUGAGCCGAACCAACCUUUUAAAGUCGGCUGUUCUGUUUCUCUGUUUUCCUGGAACAAAAUGCCGAGGCUGCAACUUGUGGCUCGAAUUCGAGCUAGUUGUGUGCCGAAUUUCAAAAUGAUUUCUUCUGUGAAAUUUUAUCUCUAUGAAUUUAUUUUCCAACGCCAUAAACCAUGCCCAAUUCUGAGUUAAUUUAUGUGAUUUAUGAUCAAAAUACGCAACCUGCCCUGCUCUUGAAAACCCUAACUUUUGGACAGAUUUGAUGCAAGGCUUGGUGUAGACUUGCUAACUGAAUAUUUUGGUGCUAAACACUUAUGAAAUGUGCCAUGAAUGUUCCUUAGGCUUUGCCUACACUAAUGAGCCAUGUUUGAGGAAUUUUUCCUUGACCAAAUGUUUGGAAUGGAAAACAAAAGGACUCAAGGCAGUUUUGUCUUAGGAUUUUCGAAAUUUUGGUUGUUUGAGUGACUACCUUUCCGAAGGUAUUUUUCCAUGAAAUUUGAUAGAGGGAUACACUUUAUAUAGGAGUAUUAUACUGCCAAAUUUUGUACCAAUCCAAGUCCAUUUCGAUGCCUAACUAAAGUCCCAAAGUUGGAAGCUCAAAUCUGGAAAUUUGUUCCCCAGUUUUGAAUUUUUCCCUAACUUUGAGCUACCGUAUCUCGGUGCUCGAAACUCCGAUUCUUGAUCCGCUUUUUCUGUUAAAAACCUUACUUGCAACUCUAAUUGAGUUACAGAUUUCAGAGGCUAGCUCGCAACGUGUGAAUUUUUCCAAAUUUCCAAAAUUAGCGAAAAACCAACCCCAACACAACCUUAAGUACUCUGAAACAGUAACUUUGAGCCCAUUUUUGAAUAUCUUCCAUUUAGAAUCAUGGAAAAGUGUCUUCUAAGAACUUUUAGUACUUUCUAAGAGAUUUUCAACGGUACUAAGUUUUCCAAUUUUGGACUUGUGUAGAGUGAGAUACGAUUUUUCAAAGACUCGUAUCAAAACGGAAAUUUUCCAAAUUCUAAGAAAAUGGAGUUUUUCAAGUACUCCUUAUUCCUUUAAUAUUUCUUGAACGUUUUAUACUUGAUUUCCCAAAAUGAAAACUCGAUUACCGUGUACUUUAAGAAACUCCAUUUAAACCUCGAUUUACGAGUAAUUGAGGUUCAUUUUCAUGAAAUUUCCUUAGAUUGUACUAGUGUACAAUCUUCCUUGAUAAUUGGGAUAUAUGAGUGAUACUUCACUAUUAUGUGCUCAGGCGCACACAAGAGGAAUUUCAAGAGGAUCCCAUGGUGGACGCUUGAACUUCGAAUGCCGUUUCUUCUUGUUUACCUGGUGAGUGUCAAGUGCAUGUUAAAUACUUAUGUAAUUGAAAUGUGAAUUGUACAAGUGUUAUACAUGAUACGUAAACUUGUUGAGACGAGUGUGUAUUUUAUCGCGCUCGUUCUCAUUUGGGGAAUGCUACAGUUAAAAUGUGCUAUGUGAAUUGAUAUUCGAAUUGUGUGAAAUGAAUUGUUAUAGGAAUUAAGUGAAGUGUUGUUAUUGCCAACCAUAUUUGUGUUGUGAUGUCGAGUGGAGUGAGCCUCCUCGACUUAUGUGUAUAUACGUGAGGACACCCUCGUUAUCUCUUUCCUUUAAUUAUGCAAUACUUGUUACAUGGAUACACACGAUCGGUAACUGUUCAUAGACAUGUUUAACUCGUAAGCUCUGAGGGGAAGCAUGUACCACACCGAUUCGGGUGGGAGGUACCUCUCAUUCCGGCUCAGUGCUAUACUCGAUUCCCUGAGCGAUAGUAUGUACCACCCCAAUUCGGGUGGGAGGUACCUCUCAUGUCGACUCAGAACCAUGAACAAUAAUUGGUAAUUGUACAUGAAUAUGUUUAACUCAUGAGCUCUGAGCGGAUAGCAUGUACCUGUGGCGACUCCACUUCCCCCUAAGGCGAACCAAAGGGUUGGCGGGCCGCCUGCCCAACUCUCGCCAGGACUCACGCAAGCAUUCUAACCCAAAUCCUUUCGAAAAAUAACCUAAUCUAUUACAAAACAAUUCUCCCGAAGAAGGCCGUCACUAGAACCACAUUAACUUCCGAGAUAGUAGUAAUUUAAUGUAGCCAAUCGACGGUUCCAAAAAAAAAAAAUCCCACACGUUAUGAACUGCGGAAUAGAAUCGUACCGUCCCAACUAAGUAAAAAUUCAUACAACAAAAUACAACAAUCAAGCCAAACAUCCAAAUUAAGUUUUACGCAUUUUCCAGCUUCAAGUGGCAAUCCAAAAUAAAAAGCACAUUAUCCAAAUUAACGCAUUACAGCCCACAAAAGUAGUCAUAGUAUUCAAGUAUACCCCAAAAGGAAAACAUGAGUAAGUCUCAAAGCUUUCAAUUUCCAGAACCUGUUAAGGAAAACAAAUAAACGUGGGGUGAGCUAAAACUCAGUGGUGCCCCAAAACAUGCAUCUAAAUAAACAAUAGCAAGAAUCAAUAUUGACUAGGGUAAACAAGUAGGAAAGCGGAUAACAGCACAAAGUAGGAUACAGGGGCUCUCAGGAGCCAUUUUCCUCGCUUGAUCACCAUUCAUCGUAGUUGACCUUCCGUCAACUCUUACGACUUAUAGUCCAUGUAGAUCCUCUCAUUUUUACUCCUAACCCGUCACCAUUCUUACCCCUGUCCCGGGCCCGAACGCCAACUAAGGAAGCAGUAUACUCGAGAUAUACCCUUAGAAAUUGGGAGCAGUAUACGUGAGUAUACCCUCAGGAAUUGGUCGAGGGAUUCACUCAACGACGUUACUGCAGUUGGAUUCAGGAGUCGAGGGAUUCACCCAACGACGCAACUACAUUUAGAUUCGAGGAUUCACGAGUCGAGGGAUUCACCCAACGACGUUACUGUAGUUGGAUUCAGGAGUCGAGGGAUUCACCCAACAACGCAACUACAUUCAAAUUCAUGAAAAAAAAUGUUUCAGGCAAGUCACCACUCGAACUGCUAAUGCGAUAAAGUACACACUGCUCACUUCGAUGGAUCAAAAACUAGUUUUGCAAGUAUCACAUUUCAAGUCAAGAAAGCACUUUAACCAAGUAGGAAUAGAACAAGCAGGGACACUCACCAAGAGUGAAGUUACUAAUCAAGUUGGGAAUCAAAAUCUGCGUCCUCGCUAAAUCCUAAAAUACCAAAUUUUAAAACUAUAAGUUGGCUAUACUAGUUCUAGGAUUACGUAGGAAAAUUAUUCGUAGUAUAGCUAGUUUAUUUGCUUGGAAUAAGUCAACAAAUCAUGUAGUAUUAAAACUAGUAAAAUACUUUGUAACGUUUCUUUAAUAUUACUUUUCUUGUAAAAGUGUUACUAGAACAAAUUUUACAUGAAAUAAUGUUUCUGGCCGAACAAGUUUUCUGCAUGUUUAGUUAAAAUCGCUAAAAUCUCGUGUUUUGGAAAUUUCCUCUAGAAAACUAGCAAGGGACUGGUCUUAAAGAACGAAAAGGAAAUGAAACAAGACUUAGGGUUUUAAAAGCUAGAAAAGUUAUUUUCUAUAACUAUCAAGGCUAGUUUAAGCUAAAGGAAAGUUGUCGGUUGGCAAAAAUUUAGGGCAAACUACUAAUUACUGAAGUUUAUCAAUUAAUACUAGCGUAAAAAUAUUUUUGAUUAGCUUGAUCAAAAUUGCUCGAGUUCACAGGGUCGAAUCGACUUUCACAGGUUCGAUUCUAUUUCGAAGUCACAUUAUAACCUAGAUUUGCCAACAAAUAAAAAUCACUUUUCAAUAGCAAAUCACUAGGGUUUCGUCAAUCAUUAACCCUAGGUUUCAAUAAAUUCAUUUCUGAUCAAUAAUAAAAUGAAUGACCAAGGCUUCGUCAAUCAUUAGUACUUGGUUUUGGCAAACCCAUAUCACAUUUCAACUUAAUCAAAAUAAAUAUAAGGCCUCCAAGCAAUUCUAGCAGUUAAUUUCAUCACACUUUAACGCUUAUAUAAAAUCAUUCAAAUGGCCAAGGAUUUCAUCAAUCAUUAGCCCUUAGCAUCCAACAAUUAGUUCUUAUAGCAAUAAAGCUAACAUUUCAAAUGUUUAAAUUGACUAACAGGUGUUUAAAACCAAGGACCAAAUUUGCGACAACCUCAUACUCAAGAUCGCCUCCAAUAAUCUCAUUACACGUACACCAAUGCAGAUUAAACAUUUCACAAUAGUUAUAUUCCAAAGUUAUCCAUUCCAGUACCGAUAACUUCAUCACAAUAUUACAGUCAUAAUAAAAUCAAAUUGUCACUCCAAAAUGCACAUGCAAGACCCUCUUAAUAUAGUUUAAAGUGAAAUCAAUGAACAUAAGAUAUUUUACAGCUCGAAACAGCAUUUUUAGAACUAAAAUUCGCCACAAGAAAUCUGAAAAAUUCCUUUACUACCUCUAUCAACUUGCUUGAAAAUUUUCCAGGUCUACACUUCAACAUUUUUGUUUAAAUCUUCCAAAAUAUCCAGUGUUUUGUAGCUAAACAACUUACACGGCUUGAAGUACACAUUUUUCAUGCAUUUCAAAACCAUUAUACUCCAAGGAAAAUUCCAGAAAUUCCCCAAAAUUCCAGAAAUUUUCCAGCUAUCCUCGGAUGAUCCUGCAUGCAUCAGAUUUCUGUUUCAUUUAAUUUUUCUGGUUUAAACCAAUUAAUUAACUACAUGCAGAGCUUACUUAUCUUGUUAUUAACUAGUUAAUCAUGGUUAUAAGCUCAAAACAACAAAAUUAUACCAAAUGAAGCUGCAUUAUUCAAGUCAAGCCCUCGGCAGUCUUAAUGACUUGCGUUCAUCAGAAUUUUCUUUCGUAAACCCCUCAUCCGGCUGCCUAAAAUCAACCUGCAUGUUCCUAGAUGGCUUAAUCUUCUUGUUUUUGAUUGGUUAAACACAUAAUUAAGCUCAGAUUGUCACAGGGAAACAAAAAUAAAGCUGCAUUAUCAAAUUAAUUCUCGGAAAUUCUGAUUUCUCAAGCGCAUCAGAAUUUCUUCUUCUAAAUCACUUAUCCGAAUGCUUAAAAUCCACAUGCAAGGCCCUAACCAUAUUAAUCAUCCAAGCUUUAAUUAGCUAAACAUAAUUACAGCUCCGGAUUAUCACAAGAAAGUAGGUUUACUCCAACAUUUCUUUAUCAACUUUUGGCCGAGUCAUUUUUCUUCCCAAGACAGGUUUUCCUCAUGCUUCAGAUUCAUUAUCCGGAUGCAUAAAUCGACAUGCAUGGUCUUAAUCAUCAUGUUUUCACGUAGCUAAUUCCAUUUUUGUGCUCAGAUGGUUAUAAAUAAACAAAUUAGAAUCUGCAUUUUUCGAUUUAACUCUCGGCCGAACCAAAUUUGCGCACUUCAGGUUCUUUUCUCUUUCUUUUAACCAAAAAAAAAAACAUCAUUCGAUGGUUUUAAAAUCAACAUGCAAUCCAUAACCGACUACUUUAGCUAGUGGUUAGAUAAAUAAUCACCAGCACAGACUCAGCUUACUUCAAAUUAAUGGACUGAUAGCUAUAUUAUCAAAUUUCCAGCCCACGGAAGUUUCUAUUCACCAAAACAGGUUUUCUCAAGCUUCUGAUUUCAGCAUUCGAUCGAAUAACUCUACAUGCAUGCUCCUAAUUAACUCAAUCAACCUCUAACUAGUUUAAUCCAGCUCAGAAAUUACCUCAGCUCGCGGACAGAUCAGAAAAAUUUCUGCAGCUCGCGGUUUUCUCCUCCCUUGCUCUCGGAUGCAGCUCACUCUCUCUUCUCAAUCAAUACACACGAGGUGAAGGUGGAGUGCGGUGGUGGUUUGAGAUGCAAGAAUGAGGAGGGUGGAGAGAGAGGGAAUGGCUCGCGGUUUUUGAGAGGGAGGUUGAGUGCAUGAGGUGAUUGAGUGUGGGGUUGGUGAAGGUGCGGGUUGGCCGAAUGGAGAGGUGGUAAUGAUGUUGUCCGGAAUGCGUUGGGAUUGCAUGGUGAUUUUGUGGGAUUGUGAAGGGUAUUUUAGACUUUUCACUUUUCCUUCUAAUGACCACUUAAGCCCUUGAUUCUAGCAUAAUCUCACGAAUUAUCCCUAAGAGUGAUUUAAACUCCUAAUAAUGUACUAAUCCCACAAGGAUUUCGAUUAUCGAAACUUUUACGUCCUACGUAUACCUAGUAUACUUAAACCAUUUUUAUCGAAAAUUUAUCGAUUACAUUUUAGUAUUAAGGUUCCUAGUAAUUCCUAACAUUAUUUAGCGAUUAAAUUAGUUAUCAGAAUUUCCAAUUAUUUAUUCUCAAGAAAUAGAGUUAGUCUAACUCGAAAUUUACUGAUUUAGUAUAAUAAGGUCAAAGGAAAUAAUAAUUUGAUACAAGCGGGUCAGUUUGCACAUAAAAAUUAUUUUUACGCACUUUUUGUGAAACAAAGAAGGAUAAAACUAUAAUUUAUUGCAGGUUAAGAAAUGCAAAUGAAAUAUGAAAUGAUAUUUGUCUAUAUGCAUUUUCAGGGUUCUCACAGUACCACACCAAUCUGGGUAGGAGGUACCUCUCAUACCGUCUCAGUGCUAUAACUAGUUCUCG